AGAGGGUUUUUUUUUGUUGCUGUGUUUCUGGUCUUUUCCACAUGCUGUUGUACCAGGGACCUGAGAAGCCAUUUCAGCAUUUGAGAGCAGCGAUGGCAGCUGGGCUCAAGAUACAAUUCUAAACCAGUUUGGUCCAGCAUACACUGACUGAGGAAAUUACAUCAACCAAGUUAAGCCUGAGGUUUGCUUUUUUAAAAAGGAGCUGUGCUUAAACACCACAUCCUCAACCCCCUUCUAGUAGCAGGUUAGAGUCACUUUUCUUCAACUCAAUCUGUUCUUGGAUCUGUCAGCAAAAGAAGACCCUUUAACAAAUGAACUGGGUGACAGUCUUUGGAUAUGAUCCAACUUGCUUGUGAAGUUGAAUGGAGAACAAAUGACACCCUCUUGAGCCAGGGAAUGCUGUGGGUGACAGAAAAACACCCUGUGGUAGAUGACAACAGUGUUUUCAUAACCAAGCCAUAGCCUUGGGGUCACAGGAGAGGGAAGAUGAGACGCUGCAGUGAAACCACAGGGAGGAAGAGCUCUGUGCCCUUGCCCUCAGAGAUGCCACUGUGGCUGCACCUCUGGUCACAACAAACCCAAGAAGAUGACAGUGAUGUUCAGCACAAAACACUGCACCUCCACAGAGCACCCAGACUCACAGUGAAUUUUUGCCCCAGACAGAAGGAAGAUGGUCCCAUGUGGAAACUCCAGCCUUACCUGACUAUUUUGCAUCAUUCAUCCUUCUGGUAGGAAUAGUUCUGUACCUGGGACCUGUAUUUGUGCCCCCUACUUCCACUGCUACAGGAAAGAGCAUCAAAAGCUGGUUUCUACUUCAAAGCAUUUGCUCUGACACUGUUUUGAGUCAUCAUAGAUUUGGGUAUUAAAGCAUCAUAGUUUCCAGUAAUAGGUCACAACAUAUUUGCCAAUUUUAUUAAUUUGGACAAAAAUAAGAUAAAACUUAUUUAGCUUUCAGAGUGUAUGCACCAUGCAAAUGCCAAGUGAUCUGGGUUUUAAAACAAUCUAAAGCUACAAAAAGAAAGGAAGAUCAUUAUUUUUAGCUCUGAUUCAAUGCACAGCAGCAAGCCCCCUGAAUAUCAUAACAAAGAUCGUGGAAUGAUGCAGAGGCAGAGAAAAACAGCCUUAGAGAACAAAGCAAAACGAAAAAAAAAAAAAGAGAACAGGAAACUUCUUAAGCUAUUAUUGCCUUUGCAGUCUUCUUAUCUGGAACUGAGUACAAGAAAUAAUUGAAUUACAGUGUAAUAAUUACUCGGUUAAUGAGGGCAGACAGGCAAUUGCAAUAUUCCUAGUUUUCUUCCUUCCCUUUCCUGAAAAUACUUAAAAUAAUUGGUAAACAAAGUGGGUUAUUUAUAAAUACAGACAGACUAUACAUCCCAAACCAGUACAGCUAAGCAGGGAGAAUGGAAAAAAUUGUUUGCCUGAGAUUUGGAGACAUUUAAAGGAAAAGCUUCCCUUAAGGAAACAGCCAGCUGUGUACAUUCAGAGCUAACUUCACAGCUGGCUGUUAAACACCCAAGCUGCUUUAAAACUCGACUUAGAGAUGCUGAAUACAUAGUUUUAACUCCUAAUGAGGUGUUAAGUGGCUCAGUAAUUUAUUUCCUUCCCAGGGGCUAAUGAUCAUGUCAGAAGGGAAAGGGCAGCUAUCAGCCUUGACAUUUCGGUGAUCCCCAUCAGGACUGGUUGAAUUAUUAUCGCCUCGUUCGCCACAAGGCACUGAGCUCUCCCGGAGUCAGCAGCCCAGUGGGAUAUAUUUUUUUUCCUUAUUCACGUUAUAGCAGCCUGUGCUAUUCCUGGCCAAGGGUAAACACCGCAGGAAGGAUGACAAAGAAGUAGCCUGUGCCUGGGGAAGUUUGUCAGGCAAUCUCGGGAAGAUGAGGAGCUCCCACUGAAAGCCAGAGCUGUGCCAGCUCAUUAGCGCUCUGUGGGGAAAGCAUCUCCUAAUGACAUGGGAUGCAGCUAUUGCUGCCUUUUUUAAGCUUCAGGUUUUCUAACUCAGCACAGGUCAGCUCUAAUCAGUGUGGGUUUCAAGCCUCAGCUGCCAGCUGCUUUUGAGCAGACCCUCUCAGAGCAAAACUGGGAAUGGUUUGCAAAGGUUUCCUUUUCUGCUUUUUCAGACCAGCUAAAAUCAGGAGGAAGAAAUGUCCAGUAUGAAACAUCACUACAGUUCUUGUCUUACAAUAAGGUAGCUCUGGUGGAACUGGUGUUAGCUUCAGAGAAAGAAAAAUGUGACCCCCUGAUUGCCAUGGAUGAGGUCUCUACCAAAAUUCAUCUUAUCAAUUUUGGAAUGUCUCUCUGACCUGUAUAGACUUUUGAAUUUUGAUCCUACCCAACCAAGUCCUUGCAGGCUUUCUGACUCCACCCACAAGCUUUGAUGAGCUGUCCUACUGGUGAGCCAGUGGUUGAGAUCUCUGGAAGGGAGAGGUCUGCGUUUCAGACUCAAGCCCAAGCCAAGUCAAGCCCUAAUCAAGGUAUGAGGAUGACUCAGUUUUGCUCACUCUUCUGACUGUAUUUCUCUGUAGGAUGUGACACCCGUAACCUGGCAACACAGCGCUGGUGACAUCACUUUUUUUGCAACAAGUUUGGCAGCUGUAUAGAAUGCCUUACAGGAAAAAGAGCUCACAUCAUAGACAUUGGAUUCCCAAGAAAAAACUCAUGUGAUUGUGCACUCUGCUGCUCUACCCCUCAUCCCUUCCCCAGGGAUUUUAUUAGAGAGUGGGCUAAUUUCAAGUGAAUUUGAUAGAGGUUAAAUGUCUCAAAAACAGAGUUUCUAAAAGAGCCACAAAUAUUGAUGGCCAUGUAGAACAGAGAUAUCCAGAUUAGUGACCCCACUGACAGCUAAUGGAGACUCAGUUUUAUUAAUAAAGACCAGAAAAUCAAAAAAGAAAAGAGCCACCAAGAAUCAGACUUUGUA